UCUCCAGCUGUUUUCAGACUACAAUUCCCAUCAUCCCUGAUCUUGCUAGCUAGGGAUGAUGGGAGUUGUAGUCCAAAAACAGCUGGAGA